rnacentral:tRNA from 1 species
GCGCGGGUGGUGGAAUUGGUAGACACGCAGGUCUCAGAAGCCUGAGUCGAAAGAUGUGCAGGUUCAAGUCCUGUCCCGCGCACCA